UACGUAGGGCGCAAGCGUUAUCCGGAAUUAUUGGGCGUAAAGAGCUCGUAGGCGGUUUGUCGCGUCUGCCGUGAAAGUCCGGGGCUCAACUCCGGAUCUGCGGUGGGUACGGGGCAGACUAGAGUGAUGUAGGGGGAGACUGGAAUUCCUGGUGUAGCGGUGAAAUGCGCAGAUAUCAGGAGGAACACCGAUGGCGAAGGCAGGUCUCUGGGCAUUAACUGACGCUGAGGAGCGAAAGCGUGGGGGAGCGAACAGG
rnacentral:rRNA from 1 species